UUUCCCUGUGAAUCUGCCAACUGAAUGUAAUCAUGAUUAUACGAUUGAAAAACUCAUAGCUGGGGAGAAUCAUUCCUUUGCCUUGUUUUUCAAGGAACCUGGGAAUGAGUCUAAACCAAAUCCAAGCAGAGGGAUUUUGACAUUAGAUGACAGAAUGAUUGACCGAUGGCUGUCGGGAAGUGAUCCAUGGAAAGUGGU